rnacentral:misc_RNA from 1 species
CAGUAUUAAGCUUGGCUGGAGCGGUCUGGCUUUGCCGGGCUUCGCUCGCCUUCUAUUCCAAACACACCUGUGCACCUUUGCGAACGCCUCCCGUUUGGAGCCGUCCCAUGUAACCUCCUUAGGGAGGGGGUGGGGCCGAGGCGUUCCUUUUUUCUUACACACCACGGCCUGUCCACGCAUGUCUAACUCUACGGAGUGAAAUGAAAUA